CUUAAUCGUUAUAAACGCAUUUUACCGUCUACGCUAUUUUUACCCCGAUUUAACGCUAGUCUAAUAUGAAAAGCUGAAGUUUAAUGAGUAUAUCGAUACAUCAAACGUUCAGUAAUGGAAAUAGCAAUUUAGGCAUUAAAAAUACAGAUCAAACGGGCAUUGUUCCAAGCAUUGAUCAACUGAUGUUCAGCUGGCGACGUUAUUGCUGGACUUUCCUGAGAUUCUGUAUCUGUUUUCAUCUCUAAUAAUUGCUACCAUUAACUUGAAGUCUUCAGAUUGGUUCGAGCGAUAUUAAAGAGGUGAGCCCCAUCUCCCAAACCAAUGGUUUGAUUUUCUUGAAAAUUUCUAGAAACAUUUCUACCUAAUACUCAAACCUCUCUGAAAAAUGUCAGAAAAUUUCGACAAAAGCUACAUGAGUUAUUAAAUUUUAAAGUU